UCUGAAAAAAUUAAUGAAAUCCAUAUUUAUUGUGAUGCGAAACCUUGCAAACCUUCCUAUUAUUAGUAUUCUACAACUACACUAGAAUGUAUUAUGAGGGCCUUGUAUAUUUAGUCUCAUUCUUAUUAGCCUUUUUGAGUCAGGCUCUUCUUAAAAAUUGUAUCAAGGUGGAUCUAAUUUAUGAAUUAUAUAAACUAGAAAACAUUGCAAUACAAAUUUAUUGGAUGUAUUAAUUGGAUACUUAGGCUUGUACAACUAAUUAUUGUUUC
rnacentral:lncRNA from 1 species